rnacentral:rRNA from 1 species
GACGUAGGGCGCGAGCGUUGUCCGGAUUUAUUGGGCGUAAAGAGCUCGUAGGCGGCUUGUUGCGUCGGCUGUGAAAAACCCGUGGCUUAACUGCGGGCUUGCAGCUGAUACGGGCGGGCUGGAGUUCGGUAGGGGAGACUGGAAUUCCUGGUGUAGCGGUGAAAUGCGCAGAUAUCAGGAGGAACACCGGUGGCGAAGGCGGGUCUCUGGGCCGAUACUGACGCUGAGGAGCGAAAGCGUGGGGAGCGAACAGG